rnacentral:Y_RNA from 1 species
GGCUGGUCUGAUGGUAGUGGGUUAUCAGAACUCAUUAACAUUAGUGUCACUGAAGUUGGUAUUCAACCCCCCACUGCUAAAUUUGGCUAAAAA